GUGGGAAAGCCACACGUCAGUUCUACGCCUCCUUCCAUAUGACGUAACGGACAGGAAUUCAAGGGCGACAAUCGCGAUUUUUACAUAGACGGCGACAGUAUCGCACCAUCUCGGUAAUUUGUUUACAUCGUGUACGUUUGAUUUUUCAAGAAAUUUAUUAUUAAAGACAAUUAAACUUGCAUCAUUUCAUCAUCAAUUAGUUAUAUAGGUAAGUUUAACAGGUGACCAUGCUAUUUUUUCUUCUUAGGAGAUUUUAUUUUACAAGAAACAAACAUCUGAAAAUGGCAAGUGACGUUGUUAUUUUGGAAGAUAAAAAUAUGGCGGGUGUUUUCCCCUUCUGAAAAUAACUGACACAUUUGCAUCCUAAUGGCUAUUUAAAAAUAAAAUGACCAAAAAUAGUAUCUAUGAUGAUGGGAGUCCCUAAAUAUUUGCAUAACUACCCAUCACUCCGUGUCAAAUUGCAACUGAGGCUGCGAAAGGGAAGCACAUAAAUCGACGCCAUUUUUCAACAGAUCCACAUGAAUAGUAGGUUUCUGUGCUCACAAAAUCCUAGUAAUAUCCUUUUAAUGAUAUCAAUAGAAAUAAGGAAUAAAGAAGAGCAGGAAACAUUUCCAUUUUGAGGAUUUAUGGAACAGAGAACUAUUUGACUUGUUUUUACUUUAACUUGGACUUUUUAACAAUAAUGCUUCUUAAAUUUUAAACUUUAUUGUUAUGCGUUUGUUUUUUUUUUUACUUUCAAAGUAUUAAGUUGUAUUAAAUUUUGUUUAUUUGAUUGAAGUUUAUUUUUCUUAUAAUAACUUAAGAUAUUAUUCACAUAUGUUUCAUCUUAACAUUAUUUUUAUGCAUUUGUAUUUAUUUAUCUUUUAAUAAACUUUUUUUUCUUAA